rnacentral:lncRNA from 1 species
CUUUCUAUGUGAAAUGAAAGUAUUAGAGAAGACAGACUGUUACUUAGUCCCCUUCUAGUUCUAAAUCAACGAUCCUCUCAUUACUUCUCCCCAAAGUUAGUCAAUCCAUGGUUAACAGAAGGGAGAGCUGUGUCUAUUGGUUUUGACUGAACAGUAUUAGCCGUGAACAGCUCUAGCUGAGAUAAGUCUUAUUGGCUCUCCAUGUUGACUUCACAGAUUAUAUCUUAAUCACUGUACAUGCUAUACAUAUACAUCUAUAUUUUGAAACCUGCUUCCUCUAAUGUUGUUUGAUAUUGUCGAGUGCAAUUUUCUCUGUCUGGGCUUCAUUUUCUCCUGGAAACUUAAAUGACUUCCAAGUUCCUUUUUCUAAAUCCCUUGCUACAAAGUGAAGAUUUUCCAUUGCAGAGAACGCUCCUUUGUGAGUUGAUUUUGGACUCAGAAUCUGCCAAGGUUAUUUAUUUUAAUUCCUUCUCCAUUGGAUAAAGCUCCUGAGGUUAGGGGUUCACUGGGGAGCUGGCUCCCAACCAAGGAAAUUCCAGUGUCUUAAGAAGUUUACCUCCCUUAUGUUGCCUCUCUUGAAGAUCAACGCAAAGGUACCAACUCUAUUUUCUUUUUCAGAAGAGAUGCAGAAAAGACAGAUUCCAGCCUCUUCAUGUAGUGAACAGGAAGCUCUGAUGCCUGGAGAGGGUCCUCACAAGGAAGGGAGAUGAUCUUCCUUCUUGUCAAUGAGGUUUUUAGCGGGCACCUUUGGCUUCCCUUAUUCCCCUUGAAAAAAUCAAAAGAGACUAAUGAAGAAUUCCCUCAAAGAGGAAGAUCUUGUUCUAAGUUGUUGAUUCGGUUUGGGUUCUGGGACGUUCCCAUUACUGGCCACCUCUCGCUGCCCUAAUGGAGACAAGUCACUGCACAUGUGUACCGAUACAGAGGCACCAUUAUGCACCUUCCCAAGUCAGCUGAUAAAACAGGUCCUCCCCCUACCUGAAAUGUCUGCCAAAGAAGGUAUGUAGGAAAUGGGGGAAAGGAACAAAACUCAAAGCACUUGAGGUCACUUUAUGACCCAAGGCAGCUAGCAUUAGUAACUGCUUUAUUUAGUCGGGUUCAAUAAAUAUGGAUGAAGUGCUGAGGAUGUAUAAAAC